rnacentral:rRNA from 1 species
AUUGAACGCUGGCGGCAGGCUUAACACAUGCAAGUCGGGCGGGGUGAUGGUGCUUGCACUAUCACUUAGCGGCGGACGGGUGAGUAAUGCUUAGGAAUCUGCCUAUUAGUGGGGGACAACAUCUCGAAAGGGAUGCUAAUACCGCAUACGUCCUACAGGAGAAAGCAGGGGAUCACUUGUGACCUUGCGCUAAUAGCUGAGCCUAAGUCGGAUUAGCUAGUUGGUGGGGUAAAGGCCUACCAAGGCGACGAUCUGUAGCGGGUCUGAGAGGAUGAUCCGCCACACUGGGAAUGAGACACGGCCCAGACUCCUACGGGAGGCAGCAGUGGGGAAUAUUGGACAAUGGGGGGAACCCUGAUCCAGCCAUGCCGCGUGUGUGAAGAAGGCCUUAUGGUUGUAAAGCACUUUAAGCGAGGAGGAGGCUCUUUUGGUUAAUACCCAGAAUGAGUGGACGUUACUCGCAGAAUAAGCACCGGCUAACUCUGUGCCAGCCGCCGCCGUAA